CCUACGGGAGGCAGCAGUGGGGAAUAUUGGGCAAUGGGCGCAAGCCUGACCCAGCAACGCCGCGUGAAGGAAGAAGGCUUUCGGGUUGUAAACUUCUUUUCUCAGGGACGAAGCAAGUGACGGUACCUGAGGAAUAAGCCACGGCUAACUACGUGCCAGCAGCCGCGGUAAUACGUAGGUGGCAAGCGUUAUCCGGAUUUACUGGGUGUAAAGGGCGUGUAGGCGGGACUGCAAGUCAGAUGUGAAAACCAUGGGCUCAACCUGUGGCCUGCAUUUGAAACUGUAGUUCUUGAGUACUGGAGAGGCAGACGGAAUUCCUAGGGUAGCGGUGAAAUGCGUAGAUAUUAGGAGGAACACCAGUGGCGAAGGCGGCUUACUGGACUGUAACUGACGUUGAGGCUCGAAAGCGUGGGGAGCAAACAGGAUUAGAUACCCUUGUAGUC
rnacentral:rRNA from 1 species